ensembl:lncRNA
AUGGGUGCAGCCAUAAAAAAAAUAAGCAAAACUUUUCAUUUUCUAGUGCUUGUUGAUGAUAUAUAGAAAUAUAACUGGUCUUUUGAUAUUGAUUUUGUAUAUUGAUUUUGCUAAUCUCUCUUGAUGAUAAAUUUUUAUUUGUAGAAUUUUCUGCAUACACAAGCACAUCAUCUGCAAAUGUUAACUCUUUUAUUUCUUCUUUUCCAAUUCAUAUUCAUUUCAUUUCUUUUUCCUGCUUUACUGUACUGGCUGGGACCUAGAGUAUAAGAAGUAAGUGGUAAGGGACUAUCCUUAUCUUAUUCCUGAACUCAAUACUUUCAACAAUUCAACACUAAGAAAGACAUUGACUACAGGGUUUUGAUAUAUCAUUUAUCAGAUUAAAGAUGUUUCCUUCCAUUCCUAAUUUACUAAAAGUUUUAAAAAUCUCCAAUGGGCCUUCCCGUCGUGGCACAGCAGAAACAAUUCUGACUAGGAACCAUGAGGUUGCAGGGAUGGAACCCACGUCCCCAUGGAUGCUACUCAGAUUCAUUUCUGCUAAGCCAUGACGGGAACUCCCCUUUCCCAUUUCUUAAUGUGACUGUAAUACUCUCUAACCCUGAACUCCUAUAGACUUUAGUGUGCAAUAUUUAAAGGUCGAUUCUGCUCUAAGAAAUCCCCAAAUUACCUACAUUUUCAAAAGAUUUGGGGAGUUGUACUUUAACUUUUUAAUGGAACUUUUCGAACACACAGAAAACUAUUGAGAACAGUAUAAUGAACCCCCAUGUUCUCAUCACCCAGCUUCAAGAACUAUCAACAUUUUAGAGUUCCUGCUGUGGUACAGUGGGUUAAGAAUCCAAUUGCAGCAGCUCAGGUCGCCAUGGAGGUGCAGGUUCAAUCCCUGGCCCAACUUCUACAUGCCAUGCAUUUUUAAAAAAAAAAAAGAGUUGGAGUUCCCAUCAUGGCUCAGUGGUUAAUGAACCCGACUAGCAUUCAUGGGGACGUGGGUUCGAUCCCUGGUCUCACUCAGUGGGUUAAGGAUCUGGCGUUGCUGUGAGCUGUGCUGUAGGUUGUAGACGUGGCUCAGAUCCCGUAUUGCUGUGGCUCUGGCAUAGGCCAGUGGCCACAGCUCCGAUUUGACCCCUAGCCAGGGAAUCUCCAUAUACCUCUGGUGCGGCCCUAAAAGACAAAAAAAAAAUUUUUUUAAGGAAUUAUCAACAUUUUGGGUAUCUUGUUUCAUCUAUAAUCCUUACUUUUUAAUGGAGUACUUUAAAGCAAUUACUAGACAUCAUGUCAUAUGAUAUGAUUCUUCUGUAUUCUGUCCAUAGUUAUAUCUCCCCUUUGCCAUUACAAAUAUUUUUGUUGGGACAAAAUUCACAUAACAUAACAUUCACCAUUUUAAGUGUAUAAUCCAGUAGCAUUUAGAACACAUUCAUUUUUUUCUUAUUUCUCUUUUUUUACUAGUCUUUUGGACAAAUUUACUUUUGGUUUAACUGACUUUUCUAUUGUUUGUUUUCUACUUCGUUGAUUUCUACUCUUUAUCGGAUGUUCCAUUCUACCUUAUCAUUUUGGAUAUUUGCUGCAUAUAUUUUUCAGUCUUUUCAUUUUAAAUACACACACUUUGGC